UACUUACAUUGAAGAUGGAGCAAGCUUGUAUUCUGCUUCUACAAAGACUAGGGCAUGGAGCAAUGAAGUGAAAUUAUGGUCAAAUGCUCCAGAUAGCCUUGGUGUUGCUGAUGAAUGCCAGAUUGGUGUAUGCAAAACAACUGCCAUCCACCUGCCUGGAUGAGACUGGAUUGGGUUACCUUGAUUCCUAGGAAGGGGAGGAGGGGAAAACAAGAAAUGCUUUGUUGGAUCUAUUCUACUGAAAUAGCCAAUUGAUCGGAAGAGAUAACAACAGAAAAAAAUGGACAACAGGAGAAAGCAGAUUAAUGGAAUGGUACAUCUGGAAAGAAAUGUUCUCAUAUUCUAAAGCAACAGAAAAGCCAUUAUUUGAUGAAGGUUCAUAUAGCAACAGGAAUCAUGCCUUGUCAACCAGAAGAACUUCAGAGAACACUAAAUGAGACAGAAGAACAAAGAAAAAAGAAAAGAACAAAAAUCUAAAACUUAAGGCCAGAAAAUCCUUCAUUCAAAUCCCGUCUCAUCUAUGAAUGCAACUAUGUUAGCCCUGCAUCUUCAUUGCUACAUUUGGAAUUUUAGAACUAAAGUCUCCCAGAUAAUAUCUGUGGAUUUCUUAGGAAAUGAAAACUAUAGGGUUUAAUUAGAAUGUUUUACGAUGAAGAUAUAACACAGGGUGUCCAAAAAUCAUCUUUACGGUUUCAACAGUAUAUAGAGUUGAAAUGGUAAAUAUAGUUUUGAGGUAUUGUGUACAGUAUAACAAAGAAAAUAGAUAAAUGUAUUAUACACGAUUCCAGUCACACCAUUCACUGCACAUCAUUCCCUAAAAAACCAUUCCCUACACAGAUCCCUUGUCAAUUUCUCUAUCAAUCUGUCACUUCAGAAGGAUGUUCAGAAGUGUCAACAGUGUACACAGUGAAUGUGAGGCAAUGAUGCAGCCAAAUAAGAUUUUCCUCUCAUCUGCAUGUACUAUUGUUGAUGUGAGCACAUGGUUCAGAAUCACCUACAGCACUGACUGCAGGCUUAGACAAGAUAACCUAUUGAUGCUACAUAUGUGGGGGUUGGAUAAGCUCUAGUAAAGCAAGAGUAUGUGCAAUCCAGUAUGUACAGAACUAUGUUGUAUUGUUUUAUGUAUGUAUGGCAUCAAAUUGUGAGCCAACCUGAGAAGGAUGGGAUAUAAAUGCAGUAAAUAAAC